UGGUUGGACAAAGAAGAGACUGUCUCUUGUGUUAUAAUUGAAUUUAACUUUUAAGUGAAAAGGCUUAAAUAUUCUAGAGGGACGAUAAGACCCUAUAAAGCUUUAUAAAUUUGAAGAUUUUGUGUAUUUUUAUAUAAAAAUGAAUUUUGAAGAUUUUAUUUGGUUGGGGCGACAAUGGUAUAAUGAGAAUAACUGCUAUUAAAAUUAACAAUUAUAUUUGAAUUAUUAAUAAUUGAUCCUUUAUAAGGAUUUUAAGAUCAAGUUACUUUAGGGAUAACAGCGUUAUUUUUCUUGAGAGUUCUUAUCAAAGGAAAAGUUUGCGACCUCGAUGUUGAAUUAAAAUGUCUAUAUAGUGCAGCAGCUAUAAAAGAAGGUCUGUUCGACCUUUAAUAUUUUACAUGAUUUGAGUUC
rnacentral:rRNA from 1 species